rnacentral:rRNA from 1 species
AUUGAACGCUGGCGGCAUGCUUUACACAUGCAAGUCGAGCGAGCGGCGGACGGGUGAGUAAUGUCUGGUAAACUGCCUGAUGGAGGGGGAUAACUACUGGAAACGGUAGCUAAUACCGCAUACUAUCAGAUGUGCCCAUCUGGGAUUAGCUAGUAGGUGGGGUAAGGGCCACCCUAGGCGACGAUCCCUAGCUGGUCUGAGAGGAUGACCAGCCACACUGGAACUGAGACACGGUCCAGACUCCUACGGGAGGCAUGAGUGGGGAAUAUUGCACAAUGGGCGCAAGCCUGAUGAAGCCAUGCCGCGUGUGUGAAGAAGGCCUUCGGGUUGUAAAGCACUUUCAGCGGGGAGGCGUUACCCGCAGAAGAAGCACCGGCUAACUCCGUGCCAGCCGCCGCGGUAAUAC